AAAAGCCCCAGCACCCGAGUGAGCAGAGGACGUGCCGAGCGGAUACACGGACCUUGCUGGACUCCCGGAGUGCGGCUGGACCACCAUGCUCAAGUUGGCCUUGGCCCCCAGGCUGCUGCAGACGCCCCUGAGGGGCUGGGUGGUCCCCAGGGCACACGUCUCUGCCAAGCCGGCCAGGACGCCCACUUCUCCCAUGGAGCAAGCCAUCGGGCUAUCCGUGAUGUUCCUCAGCUUCCUGACCCCCGCGGGCUGGGUCCUGUUCCACCUGGAGAGCUACAAGACAGGCUCCACCAAAUGAAGGCCCCGCAGCUCAGGAUCCAGGCACUGGAUGAAAGAUCGCAUUAAACCUUCCCUCCACCUAGUG